rnacentral:rRNA from 1 species
GAUUAUGGCCAUGCCACCCUGAACAAGUCCAAUCCUGUCUCAUCUCAGAAGCUAAGCAGGGUCGGUCCUGGUUAGUACUUGGAUGGGAGACUAACUACAAAGACCAGGUGCUGUAGGCA